GUACCCUCUUCGGCGGUACAUAUCCCAAGUUUGGAACGAUACAGAGACGAUUAUGCAUUGCCUUGUACAAGGAUGACACGCAAAAUCGUGAAGUGUUCCAUAUUUUA